AGGUCCUACGGGACGCAGCAGUGGGGGAUAUUGCACAAUGGGGGGAACCCUGAUGCAGCGACGCCGCGUGGGUGAAGGAGCGUUUCGGCGCGUAAAGCCCUAUCGGCAGGGAAGAAGGAGGACGGUACCUGACUAAGAAGCCCCGGCUAACUACGUGCCAGCAGCCGCGGUAAUACGUAGGAUGCGAGCGUUAUCCAGAUUUAUUGGGUUUAAAGGGUGCGUAGGCGGGAUAUUAAGUCAGCGGUAAAAUCGAGGGGCUCAACCCCUUUCAGCCGUUGAAACUGGUAUUCUUGAGUGAAUGAGAA
rnacentral:rRNA from 1 species